rnacentral:lncRNA from 1 species
ACAUUCCACCCAGCCUGACUGCUCUGGAAGGAAGAAUCCCUGCAAGGUGAGUGUUAUUAUAUCCAUUUGUGGACCAGGACUGCGGCUCAGAAGCUUUUCCCAGGACACUGAACUCUGACAGGUGAAUAGCUGCCAAGUGGUGGAGGUUGGCCUGCAGUGAGCAUCAGUCUGACUUCGAAGGACAGAAUGACACAUGGUACAAGCUUUCUGUCUUACUGCCACACGUCAGUGUCCUGGGAGAUGAACCAGAUGCAGAUGAUAAAAGUGCUGGCCAGGCGUGGUGGCUCAUGCCUGUAAUCCCAGCACUUUGGGAGGCCGAGGCGGGUGGAUUACCUGAGAUCAGGAGUUCAAGACCAGCCUGGCUAACAUGGCGAAACCCCGUCUCUGCUAAAAAUACAAAAAUUAGCUGGGUGUAGUGGCAUGCACCUGUAAUCCGAGCUAUCCAGGAGACUGAGACAGGAGAAUCGCUUGAACCUGGAGGCAGUAAGCCAAGAUCGCACCAUUGCAUUCCAGCCUAGGCGACAGAGCAAGACUCUGUCUCAAAAAAAAAAAAAAAAAAAAGUGCUCUGACGUUAUAUUAUGGUGUUGGUCGCACAACUUUGUGAAUAUAUGAGAAGUCAUGGAAUUGUAUACUUUCAAUGAAUAAAUUAUAAGGCAUACAAGUUAUAUCUCAAUAAAGCUGUUUGCUAAAUUUGGACGUCACUUUUUUUUUAAACAGCUUUGUUGAGGUAUAACUCUGGUGUUAUACGUUUAGUAUUUGUUUGUUCACCUCUAUCAUAAGCUAUAUAAGCUAUAUGUCUCUUAGGACUGGGAUCAUUUUUAUCAAUUGUUACACCUCCACUUCCUUGUAUAGUACUUUUUGCCCGAAUGUUAAUUUAAAAAUGUUUGUUGAAUGAUACAUUUUAGGCUAAAUGAAUACAGUUUGCAUCAGCAUUAGGGUAGACAUGUCACAUGUAGUCCACUAACCCUCCCCAAGUCUUUUAUGUGAGUUGUUGUUAAGCCAGGGCAAUUCUAUCCUGUACUUGGGCAGAAAUUUCUUGAAAAAAAUCAAAGUUAAGAGUUUACAUUUAUUUUAAAAUUUUUAUCAUGUUAGAACCCAUCAGUCAUUUUAGCCAGUUAAGUGUUUUUUUUUUUUUUUUUUUUUUUUGAGAUGGAGUCUUGCUGUUUUGCCCAGGCUGGAGUGCAGUAGUGCGAUCUUGGCUCACUGCAACAUCUGCCUCCCAGGUUCAAGUGGUUCUCCUGCCUUAGCCUCCCCAGUAGCUGGGGUGACAGGUAUGCACCAUGUUGCCCAAGUUUUUGCAUUAUUUAGUAGAGAUGGGGUUUCACCACAUUGCCCAGGCUGGUCUUGAACUCUUGACGUCAAGUGAUCUGCCCGCCUCGGCCUCCAAAGGUGCUGGGAUUACAGGCAUGAGCCACUGCGCCCAGCCAAGAUUUUCUUGGAUUUUUUUCUCUGUCAUUAAGUGUAGUCUCUAUUUCUACCUGCUUUGUACUACAAACCAAUUUAAAUAAGCAUGCUGUCUUUCUCCAUAAAAACAUUAAACUGUAGAACAAUGUUUUUAUGGAGAAAAAGAGCUAAAGUCACAUGCUGGUGGAGCAUAAAACGCUCACUUGAAGAACACCUUGGUAAUGGCUCCAGCUAACUGUACCAUGACCUAAUCCUGUGGCUGGAACCUCUGGGGAGUCUUAUCCACCUCCCCAAAUCCAUUUGACAAGCUCAGGUCCAAUACCACUUCUUUCAUGGGCUAUUCUCUGAUCUUCUCAGAAUGUCUAUCUUCUAUUGAAUUUGCCACAAUAUUUUGUUUGUACUACUCUUGAGACAUCCCACACAACCUUGAAUUAUAAUUGCUCACAUGGGUGUCUCAGCAUUUAUUCUAGACCAUAAGAUACUUAAAAGGAGGAAUUGUGAUUUCUUUGACAGUUUUGUCUCUUAGAAUUUAAGGGUGAGGGUGCUUAAUAAGUAUUAGAAAUAACGGAUAAGUAAAAUAUUCAGUGCUAUUAAAAAUACUAUUAAAUCUCAACACCUCCAGGGGUUACAUAUCUGAAAAAAGAUAUCAUACAUAUCUAUAUAAAUUCUAAAAUAAAUUGAAAUAGUCCAUAUCAAAAACCCUGCUGGAGUAGGUAACUCUUCACAAUCGACUUCAAUUAUUCAUGAUAUAAUUUUUGCAGGCACAUCAAAAAUUGUAUGUUUAGAGGUUAGAGGAUGAAUCCUCUUACAGUUUUCAAACCAGUCUGUACUAGCUUGAAAUGUAAUGUUUCUUGCACUUGAAUUUUCCCUGCUUUGUGUCUGCCAGUCUUGGCCCAAUGCUUGGGUACUUUUUUUAUGUUAUUGUGGUGCUUACAGGUGUUUUUCCAGCUGUGUUUUUCUAUCCUGAGGUUACAUCGGAGUAUGACAUGAUCAAACCUCUUCUUUGCACCAUGUCACAGAACCACCUUAAUGGAAGAGUGGACAAUAACUAUUGUGGUUUUCUCCUAUUUCAGGUGAUGGAAUGGAACCAUGUGUGUACAAAAAGAUACAGGAAUGUACAUAUUCAGUUUGCAAUAUAAAAACAUACACUGUGAUUGGAGAGGGAUUACAACAUUCUAAUUGCAAUUUUUGUCAUUUAUUCAAUAAAUAUUUCCUGGCUGGGUAUGAUGGCUCAAAGUGCCUGUAAUCCCAGCACUUUGGGAGGCCAAAGCAGGCAAAUCACCUGAGGUCAGGAGUUUGAGACCAGCCUGGCCACCAUGGUGAAACCCCAUCUCUACUAAAAAUACACAAAUUAGCUGGGUGUGGUGGUGCAUGCCUGUAAUCUCAGCUACCUGGGAGGCUGAGGCAGGAGAAUUGCUUGAACUCGGGAGGCGGAGGUUGCAGUGAGCUGAGAUUGCACCACUGCACCCCAGCCUGGGCAACAGAGUGAGACUCUGUCUCAAAACAAACAAACAAACAAACAAACAAAUUCCUGAGUGCCUACCAUAUGCUGAUUAAACUGUUCUAGAUGUUGGAGAUGCAGCUAUGGACAAGACAAAUACAGUCUCUUCUCUCCAGGAAUUUACCUUCUAAUGGAGGAGAGAGACAAAAACAACUUUGUACAUAAACCUUUUCUGAUAGUCAUUAAGAAAAUAAAGCAACAUGGUGUCCAAAUUCUAGAUUGCUCAUUUUAAAGGCUAGGGUGCCUAAAACCACAAGGAACAUUUCAGAAUUAGUAACAUUCAUACUUCGUAGAGCUAUACUUAGGCUAAUAAAUGUUUGGUAUUGUUGCCUCCCCAACAGCCACCUCAGACCACCUCCUGACUCCAAGUUUCCCUGCUCAUCAAUCCAAAAUUUUGUUGAAUAUACUACUUCCCCACCCCCAAUGGAGCUUAAGGGUUAACCUGAACUCUCUAAACCAAUCAGGGCAUUCCUACUGUCUUUGAUCGUGAGUGUUGUAGGCAGAGACAUAUAACCCAAUCCUUGCUAAUGAGACUUGAGGUAGGACCCCAGCUUCCGGAGAGGUUGCCUGGCUCCUAAAAAGAGAAAGAUACCGGAAAAGAGAUGGACUCUUCUACCACUGGAAAUCAGAUGGUGUCCUGAGUGACAUAAGUGUACUUACAACAGCCAUUUUGCAACCAUAAAGAAGCCAGUGGGAAUACACAGGCUACGUGUCCUCGAAGGCACAGAAGAAAGAAGAGAGAAAACUAUAUUCUUGAUGACACAGUUGAGCUACAGAAUUGUCCAACCCCGGAGGUGCCCCACUUCGCGUUGUGGGAGAUAAUGCAUUUUCCUUGCUGUUUAAACCACUUUGAGCUGAGUUUUCUAUUACCAGCAGCCUAAAGCAUUUUGACAGAUAAAAGUAGAUACAAAUGCACAUAUAUAAUGAGCAUCCUGACUGAACGAUUAAAUGUGUAUGUAGGCAUGCAUUACCUCCCCACUCCAUUUAUGAUUGUCACAUUUAUUUUUACUUCAGGGAAAAGCAACUAUAGAAUUUAAAAAAUCAGGAUUGAAAACAAAUACCUGAAUUUCCUACAAUUAAAAAAUCAAUCCAUUAAGUAGUGGUAUUAUGCUAAAAUAAAAUGAAUGCUUAGAAAUUUGUUAAGUGUUUAUGAUGUAAUAAGACAUCAAAUAAACCAUUUUUCUUUAAGUUCUUUAAUAAAAAAAAUCUGAUGUGGAGUCCAGUCUUUCAUUUUUAUCACUGGAAUAAAUAGAGAAUAGUCAUUGCAAUCAAUUGCCUGUUUGUUUCCCCAGAG